UCCCGCAUAGCUCAAUUGGCAGAGCAUUCGACUGUUAAUCGAACGGUUGGUGGUUCGAGUCCACCUGCGGGAGCCA
rnacentral:tRNA from 1 species